rnacentral:rRNA from 1 species
GUGUCAGCAGCCGCGGUAAUACGGAGGGUACAAACGUUAAUCGGAAUUACUGGGCGUAAAGCGCGCGUAGGCGGUUCGGUAAGUGGGAUGUGAAAGCCCUGGGCUCAACCUGGGAACUGCAUUCCAAACUGCCGAGCUAGAGUAUGGUAGAGGGAGGUAGAAUUUCCUGUGUAGCGGUGAAAUGCGUAGAUAUAGGAAGGAAUACCAGUGGCGAAGGCGGCCUCCUGGAUCAAUACUGACGCUGAGGUGCGAAAGCGUGGGGAGCAAACAGGAUUAGAUACCCGCGUAGUCC